AAAAACGUUAUAAUUUCAUUGGAUGGUUUUUUUUGAAUAUUUCUUUUUCAUUUAUUUUAAUCAAUCGCUUAUGUAAACAAGCCCAAAACUAUUGUCGAUUUUGUUAAGCCCAUAUAUAGCUAGGGGAUAAUAAUUAUCGAUUUAGUUUAGCCUUGGGUACCCGUUCGGAUUCGGGUCGGGUAUUUCGGAUUUUCGGGUAUUUCGGUAUAGAGGUG
rnacentral:lncRNA from 1 species